rnacentral:rRNA from 1 species
UACGUAGGGUGCGAGCGUUGUCCGGAAUUAUUGGGCGUAAAGAGCUCGUAGGCGGUUUGUCGCGUCUGCCGUGAAAACUUGGGGCUUAACCCCGAGCCUGCGGUCGAUACGGGCAGACUUGAGUUCGGCAGGGGAGACUGGAAUUCCUGGUGUAGCGGUGAAAUGCGCAGAUAUCAGGAGGAACACCGGUGGCGAAGGCGGGUCACUGGCCCGGUACUGACGCUGAGGUGCGAAAGCGUGGGGAGCAAACAGG